GUGAGGAAUAUUGGUCAAUGGAGGCAACUCUGAACCAGCCAAGUCGCGUGAAGGAUGAAGGUCUUAUGGAUUGUAAACUUCUUUUGCAAGGGAAUAAAGUGGGGGACGUGUCCUCCUUUGCAUGUACCUUGCGAAUAAGGAUCGGCUAACUCCGUGCCAGCAGCCGCGGUAAUACGGAGGAUCCGAGCGUUAUCCGGAUUUAUUGGGUUUAAAGGGUGCGCAGGCGGGAUGUUAAGUCGGCGGUGAAAUUUUGCAGCUCAACUGUAAAAGUGCCUUCGAUACUGGCUUUCUUGAGUGUGGAUGAAGUAGGCGGAAUUUGUGGUGUAGCGGUGAAAUGCUUAGAUAUCACGAGGAACUCCGAUUGCGCAGGCAGCUUACUAAACCACUACUGACGCUCAUGCACGAAGGCGUGGGGAUCAAACAGGAUUAGAAACCCCAGUAGUCC
rnacentral:rRNA from 1 species